UUCCGGUUGAUCCUGCCGGAGGUCAUUGCUAUUGGAGUCCGAUUUAGCCAUGUUAGUCGUACGAGCUUAGACUCGUGGCGAAUAGCUCAGUAACACGUGGCCAAACUACCCUGUCGAUCGGGAUAACCUCGGGAAACUGAGGCUAAUACCGAAUACGGCUCGAUGCCUGGAACUGGCUCGAGCUCGAAACGCUACGGCGCGACAGGAUGUGGCUGCGGCCGACUAGGUAGACGGUGGGGUAACGGCCCACCGUGCCGAUAAUCGGUACGGGUUGUGAAAGCAAGAGCCCGGAGACGGAAUCUGAGACAAGAUUCCGGGCCCUACGGGGCGCAGCAGGCGCGAAACCUUUACACUGCACGAGAGUGCGAUAGGGGGACUCCAAGUGCGAGGGCAUACAGUCCUCGCUUUUGUACACCGUAAGGUGGUGUACGAAUAAGUGCUGGGCAAGACCGGUGCCAGCCGCCGCGGUAAUACCGGCAGCACGAGUGAUGACCGCUAUUAUUGGGCCUAAAGCGUCCGUAGCCGGCCGGGCAAGUCCAUCGGGAAGUCCGCACGCCUAACGUGCGGGCGUCCGGUGGAAACUGCCUGGCUUGGGACCGGAAGACCCGGGGGGUACGUCUGGGGUAGGAGUGAAAUCCUGUAAUCCUGGACGGACCGCCGGUGGCGAAAGCGCCUCGGGAAGACGGAUCCGACGGUGAGGGACGAAAGCUAGGGUCACGAACCGGAUUAGAUACCCGGGUAGUCCUAGCCGUAAACGAUGUCUGCUAGGUGUGGCGCUGGCUACGAGCCAGCGCUGUGCCGUAGGGAAGCCGUGAAGCAGACCGCCUGGGAAGUACGUCUGCAAGGAUGAAACUUAAAGGAAUUGGCGGGGGAGCACUACAACCGGAGGAGCCUGCGGUUUAAUUGGAUUCAACGCCGGA
rnacentral:rRNA from 1 species